rfam:Glycine soja cultivar W05 scaffold3299_25, whole genome shotgun sequence.
UGACUGUUAUAUGAUUAUUGUGACGUGUUAUGUGAUUGAAUAUCAAUUCCAUUAAAGAUGAAAUGCAUUAUUGUUUUCAUUGAUCGAUCAGAAUAUAACACGUAACAGUGAUAAUCC